rnacentral:rRNA from 2 species
GAGGGAAACCGAGUCUUAAUUGGGCGUUAAGUUGCAGGGUAUAGACCCGAAACCCGGUGAUCUAGCCAUGGGCAGGUUGAAGGUUGGGUAACACUAACUGGAGGACCGAACCGACUAAUGUUGAAAAAUUAGCGGAUGACCUGUGGCUGGGGGUGAAAGGCCAAUCAAACCGGGAGAUAGCUGGUUCUCCCCGAAAGCUAUUUAGGUAGCGCCUCGUGAAUUCAUCUCCGGGGGUAGAGCACUGUUUCGGCUAGGGGGCCAUCCCGGCUUACCAACCCGAUGCAAACUGCGAAUACCGGAGAAUGUUAUCACGGGAGACACACGGCGGGUGCUAACGUCCGUCGUGAAGAGGGAAACAACCCAGACCGCCAGCUAAGGUCCCAAAGUCAUGGUUAAGUGGGAAACGAUGUGGGAAGGCCCAGACAGCCAGGAUGUUGGCUUAGAAGCAGCCAUCAUUUAAAGAAAGCGUAAUAGCUCACUGGUCGAGUCGGCCUGCGCGGAAGAUGUAACGGGGCUAAACCAUGCACCGAAGCUGCGGCAGCGACACUCAGGUGUUGUUGGGUAGGGGAGCGUUCUGUAAGCCUGCGAAGGUGGCCUGUGAGGGUUGCUGGAGGUAUCAGAAGUGCGAAUGCUGACAUAAGUAACGAUAAAGCGGGUGAAAAGCCCGCUCGCCGGAAGACCAAGGGUUCCUGUCCAACGUUAAUCGGGGCAGGGUGAGUCGACCCCUAAGGCGAGGCCGAAAGGCGUAGUCGAUGGGAAACGGGUUAAUAUUCCCGUACUUGGUGUUACUGCGAAGGGGGGACGGAGAAGGCUAUGUUGGCCGGGCGACGGUU